AUGUGGCCUUGCAGCCACACAACAAAGGGACCCCGUCUUAGCUAUGUUUCACAAGACUCACAAGUAUUAUGUUGGUACUUGCUUCUCUCAAUUCUCAAUUCUCAAUUUUCAGAAUAAAGAGCAACUCUAGUAACUACUCCAUUCAGUUUCAGCAACACAACAAAGGGAACACGAUUUAACAAUGCUCACCAGCUCUCGAUUUUCAGCGUAAAGGGUGCAACUCUAG
rnacentral:misc_RNA from 1 species